rnacentral:rRNA from 1 species
GACGAACGCUGGCGGCGUGCUUAACACAUGCAAGUCGAACGGAAAGGCCCUGCUUUUGUGGGGUGCUCGAGUGGCGAACGGGUGAGUAACCCGUGAGUAACCUGCCCUUGACUUUGGGAUAACUUCAGGAAACUGGGGCUAAUACAGGAUAGGAGCUCCUGCUGCAUGGUGGGGGUUGGAAAGUUUCGGCGGUUGGGGAUGGACUCGCGGCUUAUCAGCUUGUUGGUGGGUUAGUGGCUUACCAAGGCUUUGACGGGUAGCCGGCCUGAGAGGGUGACCGGCCACAAUGGGACUGAGAGACGGCCCAGACUCCUACGGGAGGCAGCAGGGGGGAAUAUUGCACAAUGGGCGGAAGCCUGAUGCAGCAACGCCGCGUGCGGGAUGACGGCCUUCGGGUUGUAAACCGCUUUCGCCUGUGACGAAGCGUGAGUGACGGUAAUGGGUAAAGAAGCACCGGCUAACUACGUG